rnacentral:rRNA from 1 species
GAAUUAUGCGCGUGCUAUACAUGCAAGUCGAGCGAAGAGAUGGGAGCUUGCUCCCUGAUCUUAGCGGCGGACGGGUGAGUAACACGUGGGCAACCUGCCCUGCAGACUGGGAUAACUCCGGGAAACCGGAGCUAAUACCGGGUAAUACAUCGCACCGCAUGGUGCAAUGUUGAAAGUUGGCCUUUGGCUAACACUGCAGGAUGGGCCCGCGGCGCAUUAGCUAGUUGGUAAGGUAACGGCUUACCAAGGCGACGAUGCGUAGCCGACCUGAGAGGGUGAUCGGCCACACUGGGACUGAGACACGGCCCAGACUCCUACGGGAGGCAGCAGUAGGGAAUCUUCCGCAAUGGACGAAAGUCUGACGGAGCAACGCCGCGUGAGUGACGAAGGCCUUCGGGUCGUAAAGCUCUGUUGUUAGGGAAGAACAAGUACCGUUCGAAUAGGGCGGUACCUUGACGGUACCUAACCAGAAAGCCACGGCUAACUACGUGCCAGCAGCCGCGGUAAUACGUAGGUGGCAAGCGUUGUCCGGAAUUAUUGGGCGUAAAGCGCGCGCAGGCGGUCUUUUAAGUCUGAUGUGAAAGCCCACGGCUCAACCGUGGAGGGUCAUUGGAAACUGGAGGACUUGAGUGCAGAAGAGGAGAGUGGAAUUCCACGUGUAGCGGUGAAAUGCGUAGAUAUGUGGAGGAACACCAGUGGCGAAGGCGGCUCUCUGGUCUGUAACUGACGCUGAGGCGCGAAAGCGUGGGGAGCAAACAGGAUUAGAUACCCUGGUAGUCCACGCCGUAAACGAUGAGUGCUAGGUGUUGGGGGGUUCCACCCUCAGUGCUGAAGUUAACACAUUAAGCACUCCGCCUGGGGAGUACGACCGCAAGGUUGAAACUCAAAGGAAUUGACGGGGGCCCGCACAAGCAGUGGAGCAUGUGGUUUAAUUCGAAGCAACGCGAAGAACCUUACCAGGUCUUGACAUCCUCUGACAAUCCUGGAGACAGGACGUUCCCCUUCUGGGGACAGAGUGACAGUGUGCAUGGUUGUCGUCAGCUCGUGUCGUGAGAUGUUGGGUUAAGUCCCGCAACGAGCGCAACCC